AUUGAACGCUGGCGGCAGGCCUAACACAUGCAAGUCGAACGAGUGGCGGACGGGUGAGUAAUGUCUGGGAAACUGCCCGAUGGAGGGGGAUAACUACUGGAAACGGUAGCUAAGACCGCAUACCAUCGGCAGUGCCCCGAUGGGAUUAGCUAUGAGGUGGGGUAACGGCUCACCUAGGCGACGAUCCCUAGCUGGUCUGAGAGGAUGACCAGCCGCACGUGAACUGAGACACGGUCCAGACUCCUACGCGAGGCAGCGGUGGGGAAUAUUGCACAAUGGGCGAAAGCCUGAUUCAGCCAUGCCGCGUGUAUGAAGAAGGCCUUCGGGUUGUAGAGUACUUUCAGCGGGGAGGCGUUACCCGCAGAAGACGCACCGGCUAACUCCGUGCCAGCAGCCGCGGUAAUUC
rnacentral:rRNA from 1 species